UUUUCUCAUUACGGGUACAUAGCAGAACGCCCUGUUGCUAGCAGCGGGUUGCCGUGCUCCUGCCGAGCCAGAUCUGCUCUGUGCCGGUGUCAGGUGAUGUCCAGCCUUCCUCCCCAGCCGUGAGCAGCUUUUCUGAGAUGUAAAAAGGCAGCAGGAGGCUCAGCUCUGUGCCCUUGAAAGCCUCCCUAGAGGAGCACAGGUUGCCCCCGAUGCUCUUGGGUUAAGAUGCUCUCGGGACCACACGUGGUGGGGACUGGCCAUCAUGUGCAGCGCUGUGUCCAGGCACAAUUUCCCUUCCUGCGGCUGUUCCUCGCAGAAAGGUUUUGCGGGUGCUUUGCAGCCUUGGGAGGAGGAGAGGAGCACUCCAAAUGCAGACCAGCACUGACCUGUGCCGGUCCUUCCCAAGACCCUGCCCAGAGCAAGAGCGGCGGUGCCGAGGAAGGGAACCCAGCCUGGCCAGCAGGCGAGUUGCUGCAUGAGAACUUCAUAUCAAAAGGUGGAAGGGGCAUAGAGAAACAGGGGUUUUAUUCUAUGCGAGGGUCUCCCCCUGUCCCUGUUAGGAUGCUGGCUCCACCACCACUGCUGGCUCUCCUGGGAAGAGGCAGCGCAGGGCACUGCCAUCCUCACGGCUGCCAAAGCGGGGCGAGAUGGGGCCGAGCGCCUCUGGCAAACAGCAGCUGUGGUGGGGAGAUGGAUGAGAAACUUCAGGGAGGUGAGAAGACUUGGGUUUAAGGAUGACAAAUGGGAGUGCUCCUGGCAGCACGUCAGUCUUCACAGCCAUAUUUCAGUUCCCAGAUGGGCGCUUUUUAUUUAGGGUCGCCGGCGUUUCCCAGCCGGCCACCGCUGCGGCUCGCGUGAGCGUGGGGCUGGGUUUGCCCCCUGGACACCCAGAGGGGCAAGCAGAGUUGCAGCCUUUGUUUUCUUGUGGGCUCAAACCAAUUCUUUUAUCCAUGUUCCCUGAUUUUUCUGUGAAUCGCUUGUUGAUGUGGGAGUUUCGUUGUCCCAGAGCGGGUGCCCUGGGCGCAGCUGUGUUCCCCCACCUGUCCCCGUGCAAUGAACUCGGUGAGGCCGUACCCCAUGGUGGGAGGAGGCGCCAGCCUCUGAGAAAAGUUGAGGGGUGACAGGCACACAUCAGCCCCGAACAAAAAUUAGUUGCAUUCAUCAGAAGAUGAGGUUAAGCCCCUUCAGCUGAUACCCAUUGUUCUGGGCUGUGUCCACCCCGAGCAUCCACACAGACCCUUUCAGGAGGGGCGAUUUCUAUUUUCUCUUGCUGUCCAAACACAAGAAUAAAUUAGACCCCAACAACCA
rnacentral:lncRNA from 1 species